rnacentral:rRNA from 1 species
AUAUAAAAAUUUGCCGAAUUCCUUUAAAUUAUUUUUAAAUAAAUUUUAUUUUUAUUUUUUUUUUCAUAUACUAAUUUUAUCAUUAUAACUAAUUUUUUUUUAUUAUAAAUUUUUUUUUUAUAUAAAUUUAAAUAUUAAAUUAAAUUUUAUUUUAAUUAAAAUUAUUUAUAAUAAAUUAUAAUUUUUAAACAAUAUAAAUUUUAAAAAUUUUAAUCAUUAAGUUUAAUUUUAUUAUAAAUAUUUAAAUUAAAGCUUAUCCCCUAAAAUAUUAAAUAUUAAAUUUUUAUAAUUAAUUUAAAAAAUUAUAAAAUUAUUUAAAUUUAAAAUUAAAUUUUUUUCUAAAAAAACUAGAUAUAUUUAAAAACGAUUAACAUUUCAUUUCUAAUUAAUUAUUAAAAAUAAUUAUACAACAUUAACUUUAUUAAUUAAUUAACUCUUUUAAAUUCGAGAUUUAUUUAAAUAAAUUAUUUUUAUUUAAUAAACUCUGAUACACAAGAUACAAUAAAUUAAAUUUACUUUUAAAUUAAUUAAUUUCACAUAUUUAUAAUUUCCUUUACAGUAAUAUUUCACUAUAAACUUAUUAAUUUUUUCUAUUAAAAAUACUUAAACCCCCAUUUUUUCUUUUUAAUAUUAAAAAUUUUUUUAUUAAACUUACAUCAUUAAUUUAACCCC